rnacentral:rRNA from 1 species
CCUGAGAAACCCACAAGAUCGAAUGAGGAGAUUCAUCGUCAGCUCAUUUUGUAUAUGUAUNAAGUUAUGAUGUGAGUUACUNCUUGUAGUAUUGCUUGUACAUACUUGUGCAUUUAUUUGCAAGAUGUUGUCGGCGUGCACUUCUCCUCUAGUAGGACGUCGCGACCCGUUGGGUGUUGGUCUACGACCCGAGUGGGAGACUUUAAUGUUUUNAUAAUAUUAAAGACCCUUGGUGUUUUCUGACCGGCUGCCCGGCGGUACUCGUACGGUAUUUAGCCGCAUUUNAUUUGCGUCCAUGUCCAUCGCAAGCGAGGCUAAUUUCUGGUAGUNGCGGACCUAGUGCCGUCGCUGGAGUUGGCCAGCUGUUGGNUUGUAUGGAAUUNCUAGGACUGGCUAAAAANUNAAUUACCGGUCGGCGAUGCUACUGCUUUGGGUACUUUCAGGACCCGUCUUGAAACACGGACCAAGGAGUCUAACAUGUGCGCGAGUCAUUGGGAUUUUUUUUNAAAUUAAACCUAAAGGCGUAAUGAAAGUAAAGGUCGUCCUUGCGUCGAUCGAGGGAGGAUAAGUUGUGUUAANGAUACAGCUUCGCACUCCCGGGGCGUCUCAUUCUCAUUGCGAGAAGAGGCGCACCUAG